rnacentral:rRNA from 1 species
GAUGAACGCUGGCGGCGUGCUUAACACAUGCAAGUCGAACGAAGAUGCCGGAGUGCUUGCACUUUGGCAGACUGAGUGGCGGACGGGUGAGUAACGCGUGGGUAACCUGCCUUAUACAGGGGGAUAACAGUUGGAAACGACUGCUAAUACCGCAUAAGCGCACGGUAUCGCAUGAUACAGUGUGAAAAACUCCGGUGGUAUAAGAUGGACCCGCGUCUGAUUAGCUUGUUGGUGAGGUAACGGCCCACCAAGGCGACGAUCAGUAGCCGGCCUGAGAGGGUGAACGGCCACAUUGGGACUGAGACACGGCCCAAACUCCUACGGGAGGCAGCAGUGGGGAAUAUUGCACAAUGGGGGAAACCCUGAUGCAGCGACGCCGCGUGAGCGAAGAAGUAUUUCGGUAUGUAAAAGCUCUAUCAGCAGGGAAGAAGAAAUGACGGUACCUGACUAAGAAGCACCGGCUAAAAUACGUG